GAUGAACGCUAGCGGCAGGCCUAAUACAUGCAAGUCGAACGAGAGAAGGGAGCUUGCUCCCGGAUCUAGUGGCGCACGGGUGCGUAACGCGUAUGCAACCUACCUUAAUCAGGGGGAUAGCCUCUCGAAAGAGAGAUUAACACCGCAUAAAAUCACAGUCCGGCAUCGGACAAUGAUCAAAUAUUUAUAGGAUUAAGAUGGGCAUGCGUGACAUUAGCUAGUUGGUGAGGUAACGGCUCACCAAGGCAACGAUGUCUAGGGGAUCUGAGAGGAUGACCCCCCACACUGGUACUGAGACACGGACCAGACUCCUACGGGAGGCAGCAGUAAGGAAUAUUGGUCAAUGGAGGCAACUCUGAACCAGCCAUGCCGCGUGCAGGAAGACGGCCCUAUGGGUUGUAAACUGCUUUUAUGGGGAAUAACCUCCUGUAUGUAUACAGGACUGAAUGUACCCCAAGGAAUAAGGAUCGGCUAACUCCGUG
rnacentral:rRNA from 1 species